rnacentral:rRNA from 1 species
GACGGGUGAGUAACACGUGGGCAACCUGCCCUGCAGAUCGGGAUAACUCCGGGAAACCGGUGCUAAUACCGAAUAGUUUGCGGCCUCUCCUGAGGCUGCACGGAAAGACGGUUUCGGCUGUCACUGCACGAUGGGCCCGCGGCGCAUUAGCUAGUUGGUGGGGUAAUGGCCCACCAAGGCGACGAUGCGAAGCCGACCUGAGAGGGUGAUCGGACACACUGGGACUGAGACACGGCCCAGACUCCUACGGGAGGCAGCAGUAUGGAAUCUUCCGCAAUGAACGAAAGUCUGACGGACCAACGCCGCGUGAGUGACGAAGGUUUUCGGAUCGUAAAACUCUGUUGUGAGGGAAGAACACGUGCCAAGUAACUACUGGCAUUUUGACGGUACCUCACCAUAAAGCCACGGCUAACUACGUGCCACCAGCCGCGGAAAUACGUAUGUGGCAAGCGUUGUCCGGAAUUAUUGAGCGUAAAGCGCGCGCAGGCGGUCCUUUAAGUCUGAUGUGAAAGCCCACGGCUCAACCGUGGAGGGUCAUUGGAAACUGGAGGACUUGAGUGCAUAACAGGAAAGUGGAAUUCCAUGUGUAGCGGUGAAAUGCCUAGAGAUGUGGAGGAACACCAGUGGCGAAGGCGACUUUCUGGUCUGUAACUGACGCUGAUGCGCGAAAGCGUGUGGAGCAAACACGAUUAAAUACCCUGGUAGUCCACGCCAUAUACGAUGACUGCUAAGUGUUAUGGGGUUUCCGCCCCUUAGUGCUGCACCUAACGCAUUAAUCACUCCGCC